ACAUCGCGUCGCCACACCUCGACUCUCCUCCGCUCUCCCAUCUGACCCCCCUCCUGCCUACUGCCCCCUCUCUCCUCGUCCGCUGUGCUGCGUCGUCUGGCGCCCACCCCCACCCCCACCCCUGCCGUGACCUCUCCCCUCUUCCUCGGCGCCGCCCUUCUCAGUCUCUCGCUCUUGUCCCUUCUCGCCCAUGAAGUACAAUAUCCCACUCAUUCUCUACGUGGUGCUCCAGUUCGUGGCGUUCUUCUUCGUGCUGGUGGGAACUCCGCUGGACAUCUUCCGCGACAAAUCACCAAACGGGUUCGGUAAGUUUCCCUGCUUUACGUUGUGGGGAAUUCUGUUUAAUUGCACACCGGGUGAUAAAAUGGAAGGAAUCGAUGCGUAUUCAGGGUGCCCUCUGCGCAUGCACCAAUUCCGCGCUGCAGAGGCUUUUGUCAUCAUCUCCAUCGUCGUGUACGGCGCAGCGUUCAUUCUUGGAUUGAUUUUGCUGUUUUGCUGCCCUGUGCUCCGCCGGGUCUGCCUGACGCUCAACAUCGUUGGCGUGGUCACCUUGUGCGUUGUUUGGGCAUUGGUGGUGGAAAUGUACUACAAAGAUGCUAAUCCACGUUGCGAGAAAUUUAAGGAAGGGGCAUCUUAUAGCUCCGCCUUCGUUCUCUUUGUGCUGGCCUGGAUACUGGAUGUCAUCAACAUUUUCUUGCUGCUCCUUCCCUUCGCUGGCGUGGACGCUGGAGCGAAUCGAAGGGCAGAGCUGCCGACCGCGAAGUAGAAUGGAGGUAGUAGGAGGAGACGGAGGGCGAGCUUGACAGCGGCGCGGCCCCUCCCCCACACCGGCGUCCUCGUGGUGGAGCCGGUGUCGGCGACGAUGAGGGUGCGCAAGCUGCGGGUUCCCGUGUGUGCCCUUCGCCGGCCCAGCCCUCUCGCUGCCCUGUCCUUCGUGCAUGCGUGUGCGGCACGCCGUGCACCGGGACAGCUGCCGAGGGGUGGUUGCGGCACUUCCUCCAGGAGUGCUGAUGGCACACGGCGCCUGUAUGCGUGUGUGUCUGUGUGCAGGCGCCCCCUGCGACCCUCCUCCCUCUUCUUCCGUGAGCGGCCCCCUCGACCGCGCCCCUCCCUCGCCUACGCUGCCGUUGCUCGCGCGUCUCUGUUUUCGUGCGUUGUUCGCGGGUGCCGCCGCACGCUCUCGCGCUCCUUGACGCUCGUUUCUCUUUCGGGUUCUGCGAUGCUUGCUGUUCUCUCCUCCGCGCAG
rnacentral:misc_RNA from 1 species